CUGUGGUGUGGCAGUGCCUGCUUAGCAACCAGGCUUUCAAUGCCUCUCAUAUUUAUUUAGGGAGGGGGGUUAUCAGACUGGAUCACAGACAAAGGAUCUGGAUCGGUGUUGCUGUUUAGGCUUUGGACUGUUGGGUCAUCGUCCAUUUUGUGAGCCAAACGAACUACUACGCAGCUCAACAGGCGUCGCAGCUCUGACAUCGUGAGCUUGUGAAAUGCUCCGCUUUUGCUCUUCCCGCUGGACCUGAGGCUGGUUGCCACGCAACAAUAGCACAUCUCUGGAGAAUCAGAAGCUCACAGGAAACAUACCCCGACCUGGCUGGUCACUGGCGUAAUCAUGGUGGUAGAUCUCCGGCUGCACUGAUGUGGUCUCAGCAGGAGACACUAGCUCAGCCAUGAGGCCAACACUGCUCAUC